rnacentral:tmRNA from 1 species
UGCCUUUAUUUUAACCCAAUCGCCCCCUAUAUAUGAGUUGUUCGCUUGCGAACUAUGGUGAUAAACGCGCGUAAUAACUGGCUCGGACCCGGGGGCAGUACCCGGCGGCUCCACCAACAAUGCUUGCGCUCUUGUUUUGCGAGAGCUUUGCUGAUGGGGCCGAAACAGCAUCGACGGACAGUAAAAAUCGUUAGCUUUUGCCCGGGUGAGGCCCGUUAAAGGCUCAAUUUGAAUAGUUGCUAAUGACAACAAUUCUCAAGAGUUUGCUCUCGCAGCGUAAGCUGUGCGAGUUACUCGCAUCUAACUCCUGAUCCCUUGAAAGAUCAGGCGGGGUUCGGAGGCACCUGGCAACAGAAGCCUCCACU